rnacentral:rRNA from 1 species
AGCGAACGCUGGCGGCAGGCUUAACACAUGCAAGUCGAGCGGGCCCUUCGGGGUCAGCGGCGGACGGGUGAGUAACGCGUGGGAACGUGCCUUCUGGUCUGGAAUAACCCUGGGAAACUAGGGCUAAUACCGGAUACGCCCUUUUGGGGAAAGGUUUACUGCCGGAAGAUCGGCCCGCGUCUGAUUAGCUAGUUGGUGGGGUAACGGCCUACCAAGGCGACGAUCAGUAGCUGGUCUGAGGGGAUGAUCAGCCACACUGGGACUGAGACACGGCCCAGACUCCUACGGGAGGCAGCAGUGGGGAAUAUUGGACAAUGGGCGCAAGCCUGAUCCAGCCAUGCCGCGUGAGUGAUGAAGGCCUUAGGGUUGUAAAGCUCUUUUAUCCGGGACGAUAAUGACGGUACCGGAGGAAUAAGCCCCGGCUAACUUCGUG